GAUCAGCUGUGAUGCGGGCGGUUCGCCGCCCGUGACUCUGCGAGAAGUCCAUUGAACCUUAUCAUUUAGAGGAAGGAGAAGUCGUAACAAGGUUUCCGUAGGUGAACCUGCGGAAGGAUCAUUGUCGAGACCAAAAAUACAUCGAGCGAUUUGGAGAACCGGUCAAAAUAAGCGGUGAUUAUUAUUUUCGUGAUAAAAGCCAUCCCAGUUGUUACCUCAUCCCCCUGGGGGCGAGGAUGGGAAUUAGGAUGGAUGAACACUCAAGCCGGCGCAGCAUCGCGCCAAGGGAUAUUUCAAAACAUGAGCCCUUAAAUGGGUUUGUUGGAAUGGGGUGCUGUUGCAUGCCAUAUGGAUUAACAUGACUCUCGGCAAUGGAUAUCUCAGCUCACGCAUCGAUGAAGAGCGCAGCGAAAUGCGAUACGUGGUGCGAAUUGCAGAAUCCCGCGAACCAUCGAGUAUUUGAACGCAAGUUGCGCCCGAGGCCAACCGGCCAAGGGCACGUCUGCCUGGGUGUCAAGCGUUACGUCGCUCCUUGUCAACUCCAUCCCAUUGAUGUAUGGGCUGGUGAAGGCUCGGAUGUGCAGAGUGGCUCAUCGUGCCCCUCGGUGCGGUGAGCUGAAGAGUGGUUCAUUAUCUCGUUGGCUGCGAACGAUAAGGGGUGGAUUAAUGUGAGGCCAAUGUUAUUGUGUCGUGUAUGCCCGUGAUAAGGACUAUACAUACUCAGGUAAUCCCAAAUCAUGCGUCGAUCAUUGGAUGGCGCUUGGAAUGCGACCCCAGGAUGGGCGAGGCCACCCGCCGAGUUUAAGCAUAUCAAUAAGCGGAGGAGAAGAAACUUACAAGGAUUCCCAUA
rnacentral:rRNA from 1 species